UACGAGGGGGGCAAGUGUUGUUCGGAAUCACUGGGCGUAAAGGGAGCGUAGGCGGGCUCUUAAGUUGGAUGUUUAAAACCGGGGCCCAACCCCGGCGUGGCAUCCAAAACUGGGAGUCUUGAAUGGAACAGAGGCUAGUGGAAUUGGAGGUGUAGCGGUGGAAUGCGUAGAGAUCUCCAAGAACACCCGUUGCGAAGGCGGCUAGCUGGGUUCACAUUGACGCUGAGGCUCGAAAGCGUGGGGAGCAAAAGGG
rnacentral:rRNA from 1 species